GAUGAACGCUGGCGGCGUGCCUAAUACAUGCCAGUCGAGCGAACAGACGAGGAGCUUGCUCCUCUGACGUUAGCGGCGGACGGGUGAGUAACACGUGGAUAACCUACCUAUAAGACUGGGAUAACUUCGGGAAACCGGAGCUAAUACCGGAUAAUAUAUUGAACCGCAUGGUUCAAUAGUGAAAGACGGUUUUGCUGUCACUUACAGAUGGAUCCGCGCCGCAUUAGCUAGUUGGUAAGGUAACGGCUUACCAAGGCAACGAUGCGUAGCCGACCUGAGAGGGUGAUCGGCCACACUGGAACUGAGACACGGUCCAGACUCCUACGGGAGGCAGCAGUAGUGAAUCUUCCGCAAUGGGCGAAAGCCUGACGGAGCAACGCCGCGUGAGUGAUGAAGGUCUUCGGAUCGUAAAACUCUGUUAUUAGGGAAGAACAAAUGUGUAAGUAACUAUGCACGUCUUGACGGUACCUAAUCAGAAAGCCACGGCUAACUACGUG
rnacentral:rRNA from 1 species